GGGAUUGUGGCUCAGCGGUAGAGCACUCGCCUAGCAUGUGUGAGGUCCUGAGUUCGAUCCUCAGCACCA
rnacentral:tRNA from 1 species